rnacentral:lncRNA from 1 species
UUCAUCAACAACUUCCCUCGCCCUCUGGCUUCCAGAGUGUUAAUCCCCUUAAAAGGGAUCCUUAAAAGGGAAAUAUUUGAGGCUCUGUUGUUAUGAAGAAAUCAGCAUUAUCUUUCUUCUCACCUCUCUCCUCACAUAAUCAUAUUCUUCUUCCAGUUUUCUUCAAUAUCUGGAUACAAUCCUCCAAACUUACUAUUCCAAGUAUUCAUCCUCCUGCCUAACUUGACAUCACCAAACACUAUAACCCAACUUCUCAGAACCCUGUUGGGACUCUGGGUUGCUUUGCACCUGGUUCCUUUCCCCAGAAUCCAAAGAAACCGUGAGAGCUGAAAUCCCAAGACUUGAUAUAAAUUGGAAGGUCUCACCCUCCCAGCUGACCUUGCAUGGGCUGAUUUCUCCUUGGAUAAUCAACUCUCAGGACCACUAAGGAAGUCAGGCAAAACUCUGGGGUCAUGCCUGCCAUUAUAGGAGUGGUAACCAAGACUUUGGGCAACAUUACCUAGAGCAUCAACAUCCUAGCUUGAGAGCUGCAAGAAACCCAACGAGUGCUGCUGCAUAAACAAUUUUCCUCAACAAAACUCUUGGAAUCCACCAGACGAGUGACUGUCAGGGUUCAUCUCCUGGCACUUUAUUUUAACACAAACUUUAUAUUAAUAUUUUUCUUUACUAUUAUUUUCAAUAAUUUUAUUGAGAUCUUAAUGGUUUAUAAUAUUGUAUAAUUUUGGGUGUAUAUAAUUAUUCAUCAAUUUCUAAAUAGACUUCAUCAUGCUCUCCACCAGUAGCUUAAUUUUUGCCUGUCACCAUACAU